rnacentral:misc_RNA from 1 species
GAGGCCACAACCACUUGCAUAAUCUCCUUCUACUGGAAAUAGCUGGGAUCUAUCCCAACAACACUGCAUUUUGCUAAACAAGAAAAACAAGAAUCUGUGACGAUGAGCAGCCAGAGAAAUGAUCAGGGUGCAGCGGCAACUAGAACUGGAGAACUUACAAAAUUCCAAUCAAACGCAGUGGAUGUCCUAUCGAGCAUAAACUCUCUGUUCACAGUUGCUGUAUUCUUGGGCUUAUCCUUCGCAUCUCCCAACCAAAAAAGCAUUGAUCCCCGAUCCGAAUGUAACCCAGACGCCACCAUGCUCAAGAGACUCGUCUUAUGGGAGGUUAUAUCAUUUUCUUUCUUCCUCUUCUCCAGCCUAUUCUUGAAAUCACUCCAACUAUAUAUCAACAUGUUAGGAGAUAAAAAAUGGGUCGUCAGGGGCAUGUUCUACAUAUCGGUAUUGACGACGACACUUGGCGUUGCAAGUUUUACGGUUUCCAUGGCUUACCUUAUUCAGAUACAGGUUGGGAAGAUGUCUUGUUGGAUUUUUGAAACAACUCUCUCUGUGAUCUUUCUAGCUGUGAUGGUGUUUCUGGGUAUCGUAAGUUAUUUAGUCGUCACUGCUCUAACUUUCUCGCUCACAACAGACGAUUUUGACCAACAUCUUUCUAGUACUACUGUUUUUACCACUGCUGCAAGUUUUUAAUUCUUGAAUAUUUUAUUUAAAAAAAUGAAAAAUUUGGAGUUAUAACAUAAUUUUACUUUGAAGUUAAUGUUAUUUUGUACAAUUUUAAUUGCUAUUUGUUAUGCUCCUUAUUUUUUGUUUACUUAAAAAAAUAAAAAUCUAAUUUCACAAAGAAUCAAUUACUCAUAACUCAUUUUAUUGCUCAACAUGCAAAUCAUGUUUCAAUUGUAAUAUCUAACCAGGGUUAAUUCAAUUAGUAAUAUUUAAUUAACACUUUCGUUAGGUUGAAAGUUUGGAUCUUAUUAAUUUUCUUUCUAACUCAAUUGUAAUAUCUCCAUGAGUUUAGUAGUAUGCAUUAUAUAAUUAGAACAAAGGAACGAGCUACACAAGUUUGGAAGCAAUUCGGUGAUGGGGUUUUGUUCUUGGCACUUCAGGACCCCUUUUCAGAGUACAAAGUAAUUUAUUAUAACAAGCGAAGGUUGGCUUCCCUCAUACACAAUUUUGUUUCAAUUAUUUUAUAUUUGAUCUCCCUAAGAUAUUUUGGAAUCAUUGUUAUAAUGGUGAGGAUGUUCUGUUGUACUGGAUUGAACAAAUCCUUAUAGUGGUCUCUCACUUCUUUUAUAGUCAAUAUGCCACUGCCUUUUUUUGAC